GGGACUGUAGCUCAGUGGCAGAGCACUUGCCUAGCAUGCAUGAAACCCUCCUGCAAUCCCG
rnacentral:tRNA from 1 species